GCGCCCGUGGCGGAAUUGGCAGACGCGCUGGAUUUAGGUUCCAGUGUCUUAGGACGUGAGAGUUCAAGUCUCUCUGGGCGCAC
rnacentral:tRNA from 1 species